UACAGAGGUCCCAAGCGUUGUUCGGAUUCACUGGGCGUAAAGGGUGCGUAGGUGGUGAGGUAAGUCGGAUGUGAAAGCUCGGAGCUCAACUCCGAAAUGGCAUUGGAAACUACCUUGCUCGAGGGUUGGAGGGGGGACUGGAAUACUUGGUGUAGCAGUGAAAUGCGUAGAUAUCGUGAGGAAGACCAGUGGCGAAGGCGGAUCUCUGGACAGCUCCUGACGCUGAGGCGCGAAAGCGUGGGGAGCGAACAGG
rnacentral:rRNA from 1 species